rnacentral:misc_RNA from 1 species
UCUCCCGUGAGGGAGCAGUCUCGCCUGGCCAUAUAGGCAACAGACAACGGGGGUUGCGUUCGUUACCCCACUGAAGGGAACAGCUCAAGCCACGAACUGACGACAACCAUGCAUCACCUGCCCAACACCCUCGAAGGCUAAUCUCCUUUCGGAGAAAAUGCAGUUGGGUUUCUAACCUUGGUAAGGUUCUUCGUUUACCAUCGAAUUAAGCCACAUAAUCCACCGCUUGUGCGAGUCCCCGUCUAUUCCUUUGAGUUUUAAUCUUGCGAUCGUACUACCCAGGCGGCUCGCUUACCGCGUUAGCUUAGUCCCACAGAGGGUCGAUACUCCGUAGAACGAGCGAGCAACGUUGAGGGCCAGGAAUA